ensembl:lncRNA
GCCGCUGUGUGGCGGAACCGGCCCCUCCCCUCCGCGGGCGGCGCCAUUUUACCCCCCCUCUCGCAGCGUGUGCGCCUCGGCUGCUGUGGCGGCUGAGGGGAGGGGGGGGCGAGCGGAGAGAGAGAGAGAGAGAGGCCGUCACCGCCGCUGCCGCCGCCGCUUUUCGCCCCCCUCCCUCGUUUCUUGCCUCGGCCCGGGCAGCGUGUGGAGGGGAAGGGACGAGGUUCAGUUCCUGCCCCUCGCUUUCCCCUUUGAUGAGCAGCACUGUUGCUAGCCCGAUGUCAACAGUUGCCUCUUCAAGCAGUGGAAGGAAAUCAACAAGCUUUACACCUGAAUUGCAAAGUAUGAUAUCCACCUUCAUUGUCAUGUAACAAUUCCUGAUGUGAACUGCUGUAUAUGCAGUAGAUGUGAAAGGAAUUGCUUGCCUCUGUUAAAUUCUACAGAGUUCCCUGUCCAAAAGUAGAAGAUACAGUUUGUUUUCAGUGAAAUGUCCUCAAGAGACUACUAGGUUGUUGUGAAGUGGAGCAUGGGAUACAUUCCACUGGAGUAUUUUUCAGUAUAACGUGAAUGAGAUAAUGAACUGUUUCCUGUGCACUGACUCUUCUGAAGUAGACGAGUACUUUGUUACAAACCCAGUGGUUUGGUCUAUUGAGUUCAGAUAGAAAAAUAUUAGUUCUCUCCUUCAAGAGAAUUCUGUUCAGUUAUUGUUCACAUCUAUUAUAGUCAUCUACACUGGAAAAUAUGAGUUGUUUUUGGUGGAGAAAAUAACUGUAACUGUGUUUCAAAAACAAAAGAGCAGCUGUGAAGUUUGGAGUCAAAGAAGCCUGUGCAUCAAUUUGGAUUAGUAUCUGAGGAGCCUGCAUUUUAUUUAAUUGUGGACUUCCUGAUAAAGUAUUUUGAAACUACCCUCCCCGCCAGUAUACACAUGAUUCUGUCAGAAUGUAGAAGUUAUUGUUGGCCAUAUAAAUGGAAGAAAUAGACAUUUUCCUUUUGCUUCAGAACCAGUGCAGUUACACUUUGAGAGCUAUGCAAACAGAUCUUCUGUGCUUUAGAGUAACAGUUUUCACAGUUUCAUAAAAGUAGUAGGAACUGAAGAAAUUCCUUGAAUGUAAUGAGCACAUUGAAAGAUAUAUUUUUAUUGUCUGCUGGGGAAAAAAGGAGACUUUUGAAAUGAUAAAGUGCCAGGGAUGAACCAUGUGGAGAAAAAAUGACAGCUGUUUCUUUUGGCCAGGACCACAAAAUGAAGUUACCCCUUUAAAAGAACUUUCCAGGCUCUGACAGAAGCUGACAUUUUUUAUAAACUACAUAAUUUAGAAAGUUACAGAUUCUUCUGUUUAGGCAAUUUGUAACAAAUCCAUGCUGACAUCUUAAGAUCCUGGGAAAUAGUAAAGGCUGGAGCAUUACAGUGCAGAAGAGGUAACAACUUUCUUAAAAGAAAAUGGGGUCUCUCUUCAUAGUUUGUUAUUGUGAAGUUGAGUAGGAUCACCUAUUUCCUAUGGAUUGUCAUCCAUAUGGAGUAAUAGGAAGAGUAACUUGUUUUGCCUUUCCUAACAAAAAAAUGGGUGCCCCAAGAAGAUGAGCUUGUGAAAAUUAAGUCAUAUAGGGACAUUGGGUGCUAAUCCAGAAUGGUGUUUGGUAGUUUGUGCUGAUGUUAAAAAAUGGGCUGUUGGAUUUUGGGGACUUAAAAGGCAGAAGGAAUGCAGAGAAACUGUCUUUUUGAAGUAGAAUAUCAAAUCCUGUUAUAACCCAGUAGUGAGAUCUGGAAGUCUGUGGAUAGCAGUGCCUCACAGUCUGAAGGUGGUAUCUUUGAUUAGUUUAUAAUUUACAGCACUGAAGUGUUGAGUCAGGGUUUGACUCCCUGGAAUGCUUAAAUUUAUAUGUAACAUUAAGCUUGUGAGUAAUCCCAUUUAAGGUGAGGAGGUUAUUCAUAUGCUACAUCUGUUACAUAUGCUAUACCUAUUUUUUAACCACAGCAUUAGGGAAUGAGCUGAAUCCUUUUGUAGAAUUGUGUUGUUACGAUAAGGUCACAAAUAUUUUUCUGAUUUAUUUGAGAAGGCAGGAAACGUAUAGGAGUCUUGAAAUCGUAAAAUACUGCAGAAAAGCUGUCUUGAAAUGUGUAAAGGUUUUUCAUGGUAUACAUACAUAUGUUUUUUAACUAAUAAAAUGAUUCUGUUUUUCCAUUAAAAAUAUUUAAAAUAUUUACUUGGAUUUGAAGAAAUUUUUGUGUUUUGUCAGAAAAAAAUCUGCAUGCUGUCUAAUGCCUGUGUAAAUAAUAUUAAGUAAAACUGGUGAUAGUACUUAAUAUAUUGAUUACCUUGAGAAGAAUACAGAGUUAAAUAAAAGUAUUAGACUGUCACAGAUCACCCGAACACAUGUCAAUUUACAGUGCACUACCUUUUACAUGUAUAUGUUUGGCUUUUAAUUGUUAUGACCUUGGGAUUAUUUGAUAUUUAUCUUAUCAUUUAAAAGAGCAUAAUGCUAUGUAGAUCUUGCUUUGACUCCCACAUCCCUUAUUUGUAUUUGGAUAUUUUAUUAUGUUACCAUAGGAUUUACAGCAGUGGGUGUUAAUAAUUUAAAAAAGUUUUCAGCAUGUCUAGUGCAUUUUGCUGAGGUUUGUUUUACAUAGCUUCACUUGGCUAAUCUACAACCUGUUUCCAAACUUAACUGCUAACAUUAGGUCAGUUGCACUUAAAUUAUGGUUCUGCCCAUUCACAACUGUGAUGAUUUCACAGUAGCCAUUAAAAUUCAUAAUUUGGUUGAGAUAAUCUAUUUUUUAAUAUAAGCAGUAGUUGCAGAGUGAAUUUCUGGAAACUGUCACAUUCUAAACACUUAUGUUAAACAAUUUGCACAUGAAGAGGUAUUUCCCCCCCCCCCCCAGUAAAAUAUCUUUAUUUUU